CGGUCCUUCAGGAGGCGGUCUUCUUUAUGGUUUGCAGAGGGAACACAAAAGCUCCAAUGAAGAUGGCAAAAGUGUACAGACGUAGGUGGGGAAUACCUUGAAAAAGAAUAAAAUAUUUUUUUGAAAAAUAUUGAACGGUUUUGAGGAAGACUAAAAAGUUCAGAUAUUUUCCGACCGCCCGUCGUAAAUUAUUCUAAAAUACAAGAUGAAAAAGAAAUAUGAUAUUUUUUAAGGCUCAUAAUGCCUUUGUCUAAAAUGUGACUGCCACAUUUUCCGAUAUGAACAUAAAAUAAAUUCAUUUCUUGUUAAAUCCUAUUUCUGAAGAUUACUUUCUUUAACAUUUGUCAAAGGUUUGCUGAAUAAACUAGAAUGUUUUAUUGAAUCUAUUGUUUUUAUUAACUUCCUAUAACAGUUCAUGUGCAAUGUUAAAACUUUUAAAGUAGUGAUUUUCUAACCAUGUAAGUACGCAUAACAUAAAUUCGGAAAGCUGUUUCAUCUGUUUUUAAGAUAAAAAUUUAAAACAUUAUGGAGUUUUAAAUGUUAUAUAUUAUAGUACAUUUAGUUAAUGUAUCGGCGAACAAGAAAAUCUCAGACUUGAUUUUAUGUAUACUCUUUCGAACACACCUUAAUUAAAAGGGAAGCUGUUGUUUGAAAAAUGAAAUUCAAAUGUGUGUGGCGUUGCGGUAACUAAAAAAAAGUUAUAUGUUAAAUAUUAAUAUUUAUUCUUUGCAUUUUUACUACAAGAGCUGAAAAAUAGGACUACUACUACUUCUGAUAAGGUCUGCCUGGAAUGUUGCGAUGGCAAUUACUGUAACAACGUUGGCUGCGGUGACGACAGUUUUCCAGACAGACUGGACCGAGGUCCAAUGUGUUACGACUGUCUGCACGUGCUUAAUGAUACUGACCUGUGUAUGAAAGUGACCAUGUGUGGAAUCGACGAGAAAACGCACAGAUUUCCUGGAAAGUUUACAGUGUUAUCGUGAUAGCUACCUAGCAAAUGCAGUCCCAGUGAAAACAUCAAGAAUUCUUGUCCUGUAUGCAAGAAUUUAUCUUUUGAAACCAGUAAAGGAGAAGAAAAAUUGUGAAUGAAACGUGUGCUAGUGAAAUAAGUAUUUUGCUGUCAACAUUUUUGUUCAACAGGUUUGUAGCAUCGAGAAGUAUAGGUGGGGUAAGGAUUUUCACUACAAGAUGGGAUGCACACACAAACUGUGCACACCAAUGAAAAGGUCGGGGUUACCUAAACGCCUGCGACGUUCUACGCCCCUGUGUUUUGCAUGUUGUUCAGAAGACUUCUGUAACACUAACUGCACACAAACAACGGAUGGUUCUACAGGACAAAUAUUAGUCGGCUAAAUUCGUCAUUUUCCAUGAAUGAUUGCGGAAAGAAAUGCUGUUAAAGAGUAAUUGCAGCGAACUCAUGGAAAGAACUUCUCUUACUGAAUUUAUCAGCGAAACUUUUGAACUUUUUAUAUUAAGGAAUCUUAAAGAUAUAUUAUGCCCAAAUUUCAUACUUGAAAAUACGAACAAUUACUACAACAGUAUCGAAGUAAAAAUAAAUUAAACAUGUCGGUGUGUAUAAUCCGUAGUGUUCAUUAGAUUUACACACUUAAAGAUAUAACAGCAAAAUAUGUAAUUCCACUGAAAAACUGGGAUUUUUUUACCGUUGAAUGUCUGUUUCUAGGUUUAUUUAUUUAGGCAAGUUAACUUUGUUUUAUGGGAAUUUUCUAGAUAUAAAACGAUAUGCAAUGAUAAAAUAUUUUAUUGAAAAAUGAGCAUAGUACAUCUUUAAACAGGCUUAUCUCUAUCCAUUCUAUAUCCAAGACUUUUUGUUUUGUAUUUUAAAUGUUAUAAAUCACUAUGUGCUAUCAAUGACUGUUAUGUCGCAACUUUAUAUAGUUUAUUGUUAACAAAACUAUUGAGCGAUCGAGUAAAUAAUAACAAUUUUGAAUGAGUCAAUGACAAUAGCUGUUGAGAUACUGGGCCGAAAUUUAUCAACGUUUUAAGCCAGAAAUUUAGACUCUAAAUGACUAGAAUUGAGAUUUGCUGUCAUUGAUAAAUUAUGACAAAUCUGACAGUAACUUUGCAUGCAUGUGCGCAUGUGCAUUCUGCAGCGACCGAUAGCUCAGCAAAUUUUCAUCUGCAUAAAUUUAUUAUAUUAAACAAAGUUAUGGUUUAUUGCAUGUAUAUUAGCCGUUUUAAAGUCUAAGUUUCAGACUUGAUGAAUACGGGCCCUGGUCUGUGCUAUCUUCUGUGUAAGUAUGGCUUAGUUCCGAGAAUUACUUAUAGAAAAAACGUUGCUGUGUUUUUUAAAUUACCCUCUUCAGAAGUUUGAUAUUGAACAGAAGACACAAACAUCAAAUGCUUUAUAAUCUGUUUAUUUGUGUAUUACCUUAGAAGAAAAGUGGAAUAGUAAUCGACGAAUACGAUUUUAGACGUAAUUUUUGUCCACCUUGUAUAGACGGGAAAUUAGUUGAGUGGGUGGACUUGAUGUCCUCACUUUGACAAGAGUAGUUUUUUAACACUAUAUAAAAAGUGGGCAGUGAUGGCCCUUGUUCACUCAUUGCUCUUUGUGACGAGGUGAAUGUCACCACAAAGAGGACUUAGUCGGAAAAAAAAAGCUUCAAGAGUAUGUCAACUGUAACUUUGCUUAUUAUCAUAAUUUUGCUACCCCCAAUAAACACAUAGUACAAUCUAUAUGAAGACUAAGAACAGCAUAAUUCUCGGCUUUUGAGGUAGGGAUUGCACGGGCAUGACAUUGCUGU